UACGAAGGGGGCUAGCGUUGUUCGGAAUUACUGGGCGUAAAGCGCGUGUAGGCGGUUGUUCAAGUCAGGUGUGAAAGCCUUGAGCUCAACUCAAGAAAUGCACUUGAUACUGGAUGACUAGAGGACCGGAGAGGAUAGUGGAAUUCCCAGUGUAGUGGUGAAAUACGUAGAGAUUGGGAAGAACACCAGUGGCGAAGGCGGCUAUCUGGACGGUUAC
rnacentral:rRNA from 1 species